rnacentral:rRNA from 1 species
CUCGUAGGUGGCCAACUAAGUCAGACGUGAAAUCCCCAGGCUCAACUUGGGAACUGCGUCUGAUACUGGAUGGCCUGAAUUCGGGAGAGGGAUGCAGAAUUCCAGGUGUAGCGGUGAAAUGCGUAGAUAUCUGGAGGAAUACCGGUGGCGAAGGCGGCAUCCUGGACCGAGAUUGACACUGAUGAGCAAGGCUAGGGGAGCAAACG